CUCAGUUUUCAAUCUUAAUCAUCUCUCACGAACAAUACACAGCGGCGGCCGGAAAGAAUCUCUCUCCGGACAUACCCUCACCCUCUCUCAUCUCGUUCUCUCUCGAUUAUGUUAUUGUUGUUAUUGCGUUGAUGUUCCUGAUUCUUUUUCGGUGGUGAAGAUUUUUGGAGACGCUUAAAUGGAGAAGAAAAUACCAGAGGCUACUCCGAACAGGGCUGUUCGGUAUAUGCAGUUAGUUUAGAUACCGAGCUUGGUGAGUUUUCCUAUGUUUUGAAGCAUGACUCAGAGGUAGGACCAUGGAAGGCGAGACUCGAAGACAGGCGAGCAAAGUGAAACCGAAGGAGACUUGGUAAAGGAAGAUGAAGAAAAUUUAAUGUGUAUUCUGCACUGUGUAAUUUUGUACCGAAUGUAACAUGGCCCUUUUUUAUGUACAUGGCAAUAAUAGUUGAAAUUUGAAUGAGUGUAUGAUUAUACCAGAAUAUGGAUCUGCAUAUGUUUGUAAUUUCCUUUGUAAUCUCCCCGGCUUGUAUCAUAACUUGUACCAAAUUUGAAUGAAAUAGA